GGCAAUAUAUACUCUUGUGUCAAAUGUCCGGUGAAGACAACUGUGAUUAGCAGGCUGGGGGAGGAAAAAGUGGAGCUGUAUUUCUUCAGUUUGGGAAAGUAAGAACGAGACACCGUGCACGCAAAGUGCUCAGAACAGGGCCUGGUAAUUAGGAAGCCCGGAAUAAAAGGAGUGGUGGGUGCUCUUAGCUUCUCCACUUGUAAUUAAGGGAAUUGGCUAAACUGAUACAUUCUCAGAUCUCGCUUGGGUGACUCAUCCUCCAGGAGCACGAGGAAUCGCACGCCAGUAGGAAGAAAGACUGCGGACUUUGCACCCAGGCCUCAAUAUAGCACAACAGGAACCUACCCAACCUGGUUCUGGAGGUGCCCAAAGAGCCGGGCGGGCGCUGAGGAGCAGCCAUAGGGUGGAGCUUAGCCGUCUCCGCCCACAGCCCACCGCGUUCUUCAUUGGUCCCGUGAGCUCUAUGUGCGUAACGUCACACGCAUGCGCCACAAGUGUGGAUAGGGGGCGUGGUCCACCAAGAAGGAGGACACAAGAUGGCGGCGUCCGUGAGGUCGAGGUUCCUGAGGUUGCUACGCGUGGUCGCACCGUGGCGGAGCAGGUUUUACCCAUCCAUUUGAGAGAGGAAGCAAGAGCGAGCGUGUUCGCACGAAUGGGGAGGAGAGGGAGAAGCUGGUUCCCUGCUGAACAGGGAGGCCAACCCAGGGUUCCAUCCCAGGACCCCAGGACCAUGACCUGAGCUGAAGGCAGGUGCUUAACCAACUGAACCACCCAGGAGCCCCUAAACUCUGUUACUUUGAAUAAUAGUAAUAUGUAACUAGGUGCCUGUUUUUCAUGAUUGUUUCAGGUAAUCUUAUUGAGGUAGGUCCUGUUUUAACAGGUGGAGAAAUUGAGGCUUAGAAUUAAUUACGUUUUUAAAGUCACACUGCUAGUGAGUGGCAGUGAGCCAUACAAUUAGACUUGUAUGCUCAGUCAUGGGUUUUAAUCACCUGUUUGCAGGAUACCCACAUGAGUAACCAGCUUCAGAAGAGACAUCUGAUUAAACUUAUCCAUUCAUCCCUCUGGACUUACUCUCACCACUGAGAUUGGAGUUCAGUAAGAAGGCAGACCCCUAUGUUCAUCAAGGAAUAUGGACAGUUGGGGCGCCUAGGUGGCUCAGACAGUUAAGUGUCUGCCUUUGGCUCAGGUGAUGAUCCCAGAGUUCUGGGAUCAAGUCCUGCAUCAGGCUCCUUGCUCAACGGGGAGCCUGCUUCUCCCUUUCCUUCUGCCUAGUGCUCCCCCCUCCACUUGUGCUCUCUCUCUCUCUCUCCCUGUCAAAAAAAUAAAAUCUUUUAAAAAAAGGUUUAUGGGGGUGCCUGGGUGGUUCAGUGGGUUAAGCUUCUGCCUUCAGCUCAGGUCAUGCUCCUAGGGUCCUGGGAUUGAGCCCCACAUCGGGCUCUCUGCUCAGUGGGGGGCCUGCUCCCCUCCUCUCUCUCUGCCUGCCUCUCUGCCUGCUUGUGAUUUCUGUCUGUCAAAUAAAUAAAUAAAAAAUCUUUAAAAAAAUAAAANNNNNNN
ensembl:lincRNA